rnacentral:rRNA from 1 species
CAGUGGGGAAUUUUCCGCAAUGGGCGCAAGCCUGACGGAGCAAGACCGCGUGAGGGAGGAAGGCUCUUGGGUUGUAAACCUCUUUUAUCAGGGAAGAAGAUCUGACGGUACCUGAUGAAUCAGCAUCGGCUAACUCCGUGCCAGCAGCCGCGGUAAUACGGAGGAUGCAAGCGUUAUCCGGAUUUAUUGGGCGUAAAGCGUCCGCAGGUGGUUUUUCAAGUCUGCUGUUAAAGCGCAGAGCUUAACUCUGUAACGGCGGUGGAAACUGAGAGACUAGAGUAUGGUAGGGGUUGCGGGAAUUCCCAGUGUAGCGGUGAAAUGCGUAGAUAUUGGGAAGAACACCAGCGGCGAAAGCGCGCAACUGGGCCAUUACUGACACUCAUGGACGAAAGCUAGGGGAGCGAAAGGGAUUAGAUACCCCUGUAGUCCUAGCUGUAAACGAUGGGUACUAGGUGUUGACCGUAUCGACCCGGUCAGUGCCGUAGCUAACGCGUUAAGUACCCCGCCUGGGGGAGUAUGCACGCAAGUGUGAAACUCAAAGGAAUUGACGGGGGCCCGCACAAGCGGUGGAGUAUGUGGUUUAAUUCGAUGCAACGCGAAGAACCUUACCAGGGCUUGACAUGUCGCGAAUCUCGGUGAAAGUCGAGAGUGCCUUCGGGA